CCUACGGGGUGCUGCAGUCGAGAAUCAUUCACAAUGGGGGAAACCCUGAUGGUGCGACGCCGCGUGGGGGAAUGAAGGUCUUCGGAUUGUAAACCCCUGUCAUGUGGGAGCAAAUUAAAAAGAUAGUACCACACGAGGAAGAGACGGCUAACUCUGUGCCAGCAGCCGCGGUAAUACAGAGGUCUCAAGCGUUGUUCGGAAUCACUGGGCGUAAAGCGUGCGUAGGCUGUUUCGUAAGUCGUGUGUGAAAGGCGCGGGCUCAACCCGCGGACGGCACAUGAUACUGCGAGACUAGAGUAAUGGAGGGGGAACCGGAAUUCUCGGUGUAGCAGUGAAAUGCGUAGAUAUCGAGAGGAACACUCGUGGCGAAGGCGGGUUCCUGGACAUUAACUGACGCUGAGGCACGAAGGCCAGGGGAGCGAAAGGGAUUAGAUACCCUAGUAGUC
rnacentral:rRNA from 1 species